UACGAAGGUGGCAAGCGUUGUUCGGAUUUACUGGGCGUAAGGGAGCGUAGGUGGUUAGGUAAGCCCUCCGGGAAAUCUUCAGGCUUAACCUGAAAAGGUCGGGGGGGACUGCCUAGCUAGAGGGCGGGAGAGGAGCGCGGAAUUCCCGGUGUAGCGGUGAAAUGCGUAGAGAUCGGGAGGAAGGCCGGUGGCGAAGGCGGCGCUCUGGAACGUUUCUGACACUGAGGCUCGAAAGCGUGGGGAGCAAACAGG
rnacentral:rRNA from 1 species